CGCGUAGGCGGACGAUUAAGUUAGAGGUGAAAGCCCCGGGCUCAACCUGGGAACUGCCUUUGAAACUGAUAGUCUAGAGUCCGAGAGAGGAUGGCGGAAUUCCCAGUGUAGAGGUGAAAUUCGUAGAUAUUGGGAAGAACACCAGUGGCGAAGGCGGCCAUCUGGCUCGGUACUGACGCUGAGGCGCGAAAGCGUGGGGAGCAAACAG
rnacentral:rRNA from 1 species